CGAGGAGAUGAGCCAGCCCCAAGGAGAGGUGCAUGCCGUGCUCUGAAGUCAGCACUGAGCAACAGCAGGAGUCUUGGGACAACCUGGAGGACGAUAAGAGGAGGCCAAGGCUGAACCUACUUCUAAAUGAUACAUUGAUGAACAUUUUGGACUUUGAAUAUGAAUUAAGUGAAGAUGGCUUAAUGUAGUUGAUACGGAAGCUUGCAGAAGCUGGAGUUAGAACCAAAUUGGAGGAACCUGGGAGCAGCUUAGGAAAGACAGAAACUCGGCGGAAUCAUUCUCUUUAAAACAUGAUCAGCGGACCUCUCAACCCACAUCAGGAAGUAUCUAUCUGCAUUUGAUGAUGGUUACCACUGAGACUCACAAAUGGCGUGGAGUGGAGAACAAGAGGCUGCAGAAUAUUCAGCCCUACAUGGACCAUCCAUACCCUACCAUCUCCUCCAGGCUAGUGAUCAUACAAAGAGGGACCGGAGAGACCGUAAGAAACAGAGGUGGUGAACGAUUCAGGAAAGCAGCGUCCUCUGGACACACUGGGCCAGCGGCACAGGUGAACGUGAAGUAGUUAGGACAAGCCCCAUGGAAGCUCAAGCCAGACUGAAUCCCGGCAUGGAGAGAUGGGGUGGGUACCAAGUCCUGCCCCUAGCCAGGAACUACUGGCCAUUGAUAGCUGCUGGGAGGGGAAGAGUGUGCUUUCUUUAGGAGUGAUUCCAUGGCCGG